GAUGAAGAACGCAGCGAAAUGCGAUAAGUAAUGUGAAUUGCAGAAUUCAGUGAAUCAUCGAAUCUUUGAACGCACAUUGCGCCCGCCAGUAUUCUGGCGGGCAUGCCUGUUCGAGCGUCAUUUCAACCCUCAGGACCCUUUGGACCUGGUGUUGGGGCUCGGCCGCUACCCCGCGGCCGUCCCCGAAAGAUAGUGGCGGUCUCGCUGUAGCGUCCUCUGCGUAGUAAUUACACCUCGCACUGGAACGCGGCGCGGCCACGCCGUUAAACACCCCACUGCUCAAGGUUGACCUCGGAUCAGGUAGGAAUACCCGCUGAACUUAAGCAUAUCAAUAAGCGGAGGA
rnacentral:misc_RNA from 1 species